rnacentral:rRNA from 1 species
CCCACCCUGCCGAUAACUCGGGGAUAGCCUUUCGAAAGAAAGAUUAAUACCCGAUGGUAUAAUCAGACCGCAUGGUCUUGUUAUUAAAGAAUUUCGGUUAUCGAUGGGGAUGCGUUCCAUUAGGCAGUUGGUGAGGUAACGGCUCACCAAACCUUCGAUGGAUAGGGGUUCUGAGAGGAAGGUCCCCCACAUUGGAACUGAGACACGGUCCAAACUCCUACGGGAGGCAGCAGUGAGGAAUAUUGGUCAAUGGGCGCAGGCCUGAACCAGCCAAGUAGCGUGAAGGAUGACUGCCCUAUGGGUUGUAAACUUCUUUUAUAUGGGAAUAAAGUUUUCCACGUGUGGAAUUUUGUAUGUACCAUAUGAAUAAGGAUCGGCUAACUCCGUGCCAGCAGCCGCGGUAAUACGGAGGAUCCGAGCGUUAUCCGGAUUUAUUGGGUUUAAAGGGAGCGUAGGUGGACAGUUAAGUCAGUUGUGAAAGUUUGCGGCUCAACCGUAAAAUUGCAGUUGAUACUGGCUGUCUUGAGUACAGUAGAGGUGGGCGGAAUUCGUGGUGUAGCGGUGAAAUGCUUAGAUAUCACGAAGAACUCCGAUUGCGAAGGCAGCUCACUGGACUGCAACUGACACUGAUGCUCGAAAGUGUGGGUAUCAAACAGGAUUAGAUACCCUGGUAGUCCACACAGUAAACGAUGAAUACUCGCUGUUUGCGAUAUACAGUAAGCGGCCAAGCGAAAGCAUUAAGUAUUCCACCUGGGGAGUACGCCGGCAACGGUGAAACUCAAAGGAAUUGACGGGGGCCCGCACAAGCGGAGGAACAUGUGGUUUAAUUCGAUGAUACGCGAGGAACCUUACCCGGGCUUAAAUUGCAUUUGAAUAUAUUGGAAACAGUAUAGCCGUAAGGCAAAUGUGAAGGUGCUGCAUGGUUGUCGUCAGCUCGUGCCGUGAGGUGUCGGCUUAAGUGCCAUAACGAGCGCAACCCUUAUUGUCAGUUACUAACAGGUUCCGCUGAGGACUCUGACAAGACUGCCAUCGUAAGAUGUGAGGAAGGUGGGGAUGACGUCAAAUCAGCACGGCCCUUACGUCCGGGGCUACACACGUGUUACAAUGGGGGGUACAGAGGGCCGCUACCACGCGAGUGGAUGCCAAUCCCAAAAACCUCUCUCAGUUCGGACUGGAGUCUGCAACCCGACUCCACGAAGCUGGAUUCGCUAGUAAUCGCGCAUCAGCCACGGCGCGGUGAAUACGUUCCCGGGCCUUGCACACACCGCCCGUA